UGAAAGCAGGACGAAACAAAAAAACAAGAGCAAGGGAAAAGGGUUGUUAGUUUGUGGGUUCUAGUGAGAGAAAAUGCAGCGAGCGAAUGGUGGAAUGGGAAAGGAUGGUUGGACGGCACAAAAGAGAGUGGAAGAGCGAGAACAAGCGAAGAGAGAGAAGGGAAGAGUAAGAACAGGCAGGAAAGGGGAGAGGAGAUUAGUAUGACCGAGGCGGAGGUUGCAGCCAAGGAAAUGGAUGAGGAAGGCGGAAGUUGCAGGUUAGAGGAAAGGGCUAAGAUUGGUGGCAGCAGGGUUUCGAGAGAGACAAUGAUAGCAGAUGGUUGGAGAGAGAGAUGAUGAUGGCAGCUGGUUGGAGUAGAGAAGAAGAUGGAGGAUGGUUUUGCAGCAGAGGUAAAGGAAGAGCGAGUGAGGAGCAGUGAGGUUAGAAAGUGAGCAAGGUGUCUCAAUGAGAUUGAGGGCUUGGCAAAGGUGGCUCGAUAGAGAGGAGGGAUGGUCGCAAGGUAGUGAGAGACAUGGGUGGUGUAGCUGGCUUUCGAGACAGAGAGGACGAGAGAGAACCAGUGGUGGCCUGAGAGCAAGUGGAGAGUGCGGCAGUUGGGGCUACUGCCUAGUUCUAAUGCGGAGGAGAAGAAGAAAGGGGGACGAGUGAAGGUGAGAGGUGGCUACAACGGUUAAGAGAGGUCGAGGUGGGUGCAGCCAAGGUGGAAAGAUAGGCAGAGGUUGCUGGCCGGGAGGAAGGGCUGAGGCGCACGACAAUGGGUGACUUUCACACACGAUAAUGAGGUGGUGGCUGCCGGUGACAGACCUCAGUUGCGCACGACGAUGGGGGAGGUUCACGCAUGGCGAUGGGUGAAGGACGGGUUGCACACGACGAUAGAUGGUGGCUUGCAUACACGACGAUAAGUGAUGUCUGGCGCACACAGCGAUAGGUAAGAUGGGUACGCACGUCCGUAGGGUAGGAUAGAUCGCACAUGGCAAUAGGGUAGGAUAGGUUGCACAUGGCAAUAGGUAAGAAUAGGUCGCACACGACUAUAGGUAAGAAUAGGUCGCAAACGGCGAUUGGAAAGAAGUUGGGCAAAGGUGGUCUCGCGGGACCACAGGACGUGAG
rnacentral:lncRNA from 1 species